CCCUACCCAGGUACGUGGGGAGUUUCUUGCCUUUUGGGAGGUCUGAGGUCUUCUGCCAGCGUUCAGUGGGUGUUCUAUAGGAGCAGUUCCACGUGUAGAUGUAUUUCUGAUGUAUCUGUGAGUAGGAAGGUGAUCUCCGCGUCUUACUCUUCUGCCAUCUUCUCUCCAUCCUCUAGUAGUGCUGUUUACAAAACAUUGAACAAAUAUCACGACCAAAUGAUCAUAUCAUUGAAAAACUUAUCAAACCCAGUGUGCCCACAUUAAAGGCAGAUUGGCACGGGCUGUUUCCAAGGCUACCGGUAGAAGAGCAGGAAGAUCAGGAUAGAGAAGCACAGAAAGAAGAGGAUAUGAAGAAGCUGAAGGAGGAGGAAAGAUGGGGAGAAUAAGCAAUGGUUUCUGAGGUCUUUUCUAAUUAAGCCACUGUUUCGAAUAAUUUUCAAUUUGUCUCUUGCAAUGAAGCCACUUUAUCAUUCUCUUGCUUUGAGGCUUCCAGGUACCAGUUAAAAUUUGCCUUCCAUUCUGGCUAUUUGAUCUUAUAGCUGGAUAUUUUUCUAAUUGAGCCUGCGAGUAAACCAACUUAGUUUUAAAUCAAAAGUGCCCCAUUUUGGCCAUCUCAGGCACAAAUUAUAUUUGGUCAGACCUUACCAUUUAGUUAAAUGCUUGCAAGUGUCAGUUCCAUAGAUGUUAUACAUAAACCCAGCUGGGUUUCCCAUAGGUGGCUGUUCGUCUGGGAGCUGUUUGGCCUUUGAGGCACAAUUUCCCUUUAUUAAUUUGGUAGCCUAAUUCAGAUAUGAGAUAUGAUCUGAACAACUUUCUGAGGAUGGUGUGUUCAAUUGGAUGGGUGCUGCUUCUGAGUCUAGCUCACCAAGGAAUUACCCUUGCGUCACUUCAACUCUUUUAUGUGUCUUGGUUUCUCCCUCUUACAGUCUAAAACUGCCAUGGGUACUCUGAUCACUAGGUGAUCAGCCUCUGUCACAUUUCCCAGAAGAGUAGUAUUUACUUAAUGGUUGUAGUGGGGCUCCCUUUGGGACCACUACACAUCACAAGGAUUAAUCCUCAGACACUUCUUUUUUUUUUUAAGAUGUUGGGGGUAGGAGUUUAUUAAUUUAUUUAUUUUUGCUGUGUUGGGUCUUCGUUUCUCUGCGAGGGCUUUCUCUAGUUGUGGCAAGCGGGGGCCACCCUUCCUUGUGGUCUGUGGGCCUCUCACUAUCGUGGCCUCUCUUGUUGCAGAGCACAGGCUCCAGACGUGCAGGCUCAGUAGUUGUGGCUCACGGGCCUAGUUGCUCCGCGGCACGUGGGAUCCUCCCAGACCAGGGCUCAAACCCGUGUCCCCUGCAUUAGCAGGCAGAUUCUCAACCACUGCGCCACCAGGGAAGCCCCUCAGACACUUCUUAGCCACCUGAGGAUGACUUGUGGCUGGAAGGAGCAAAAGUCCCUUGUGCCUUGGAGCUGAAUAAUUCAGUCUCUCAUUUCACUAGCAAACGGUUUGUUCAGGCCAUGUAUCAACUUGUUUUUUUCUAAAGUUACGCCAAAUUUAACAAAAACAAGCCACCUAUGGUUCCCUGGACCUCCUGCCCAGAUCCCUCUAUGUCCCUGCCUAGGAAAAUGCACCAAUGCCCCUUAAGACUCCAAGUCUUAAGUAAAAACAGCUCAAAUAAAAUUUUUAGGAUCGUCACGCAAACAAUGAGAUCCAACUAUCAGGAGAACUCGAGGAGUCAAGAUGGCAGAAUAGGAGGAUGUGGAAUUCACCUUUCCUCACAAGUACAUCAAGAAUACAAACAAUCUACGAAUGGAACAAUUCUCAUAGAGCACUUGCUGAACACUAGUAGAAGACCUUGGACACAUAAAAGGACAAGAAAAAUCCCCACACAACUGGGUAGGAUGAAAGAAAGAAAAAAGAAAAGAAGAAAUGGGAAGGGACCAGCACUGCUGGCAGGGAGCUAAAAGUGAGGAGAGGUUCCCACAUGCAGAAAGCCCCCUCAAGGUGGGAAGAUCAGUUGGGGCAGAAAGGGACCUUUGGGGGAUCAGAGUGGAAUGCAACAACCAGUCUGUGGAAGGGAGGACUAAGUAAGAACUGCAUGCAUGAUCCAUGCUGCAGCCCUGCACACCUGAGUUGUGUGUCUCCUGGUGUGGAGAGGGGCUGCGUGCUGGAAAGUGGGAUUUGGAGAGUGGAUCCAGGGAGGAGACAGCUGUUGGCUGUGAAGAGACAGCCUGAAGGGACAGAAGUAAAGAGCUCCACAGCUGGGAAAGUUUGUGGAAGAAACCCAGGACACUAUAGAAGCAAGGCGUCAUUGUUGAGUGGUGUGCAAGGGGUGGCACCGCCAUUGCAACCCCCUUCCCCACCUAUUGGCUCCUGCCUCCACGGGCACUGGGAAGGGCACCCAUCUGAGCAGGCUCACCCACCCUUCAAGCCAAAGCUUCCUCCACCCAUGCAGGCUCUGGGGUCUGGAGCACCACCACUGCCAAAGCCUCCUUUGGCUGCACAGGCCCCAGCGGGCCCACACGUGCCACCCUUGCCAAAGCUUCCUUGGGAAUCAGCCCUGGGCACCCCAGCCUGAGAUGGGAAUCCACCAAUGCUGGUGGGGGCUGAGUGCUAAGGCAUGGGUUUAGGAGAGCAGAUUUGGGGAGAUGACUGCUCUUGGCUGUGUGGAGACAACCUAACGGGAUGGGAGUAAGGGGCUCCAGCAGCUGGGAAUGCUCCUAGAGGAAGGGUGGUCUGCCUUGGAAAGGAGGCACCAUUGUCGUGUGGUGUGCAAGGGGCGGAGCCACAGUCACAGGCUCUCUUCCAACAUGCCAGUGCUUGCCUCCACGGGCACUGGGAGGGACUCCUGCCAGAGCAAGCGCACCCCAGUCUGUUGCAACUUCCUGCUGGUCUCUGCCACUGCAGGCACUUCACAAACGCCCCAGUUGCAACCGCCUUAUCCCUCCCCAGGCUGAGUAAGUGUGCCCCAAUCAGCCGCUGCUUUUGUCCCCUCUUGCCUGGGUGCGAGUCAGAGGCCUGAGGGUACCCUACACACAGAGGUGGGGCCAAAACCAAAGCUGAGCCCCAAGGGAUGUGUGACAAAGGAAGAGGAAUGGAAAUCUCUCCAUGCAGCUGCACAAGCCAUGGAUUAAAUCCCUGCAGUCAGCUUGGUAAACCCUGCAUGUGUGGACUAUCUGAAUGAACAAGGAGUGCUCCCACAACUGAGACCAGUCUAGCUUUAGAGGCUGUGGACUUUGGGGACAAGUACAUGUGGGAGUUGGCCCCAGGAAAACAU